rnacentral:rRNA from 1 species
GAUGGACGCUGGCGGCGUGCCUAACACAUGCAAGUCGAGCGAACAGACGAUGAGCUUGUUCCCUUGCCGUUGGCGGCGGGCGGGUGAGUAACACGUGGAUACCCCACUUCUAUUUCUGGGAGAACUACGGAAAACGGGAUAUAAUACCGGAUAAUAUAUUGAACCGGAGGGUUCAGUGGUGAAUUACGGCUUUGGUGGAUCUAAUCGCUGGUUCCGCGCUGGAUUGUGUGGUGGGUAAGUUACCGGCUUAUCAAGGCAACUAGGCGUAGCCGAGCGCAGAGGGUGAUCGGCCACACUGGAACUGAGACACGGUCCAGACUCCUACGGGAGGCAGCAGUAGGGAAUCUUCCGCAAUGGGCGAAAGCCUGACCCAGCCAGGCCGCGUGGGUGAUGAAGGUCUUCGGUGCGUAAAGCUCUGUUAUUGGGUAAGAACAGCUGUCUCCGUAACCAUGGCCGUCUUGACGGUACCUAAUCAAAAAGCACCGGCUAACUACGUG